GCACCACAUGCUGAACAUCAUUGCCCGUUGCCCGUGAAGUGUAGAAGCACCCGAAAACUUCUAAUGUAUUGGCAAAAGUCGUUCAAAGUUCGCAGAAAAAGUUGCUAAAGUGUGUCGCCUGGUGCGCAUCGGAUUGCGGAUUGUGUGUUCGCUUUGGGAAUCGCAAAUCAAAAGGAGGUCAACCGUUGUGGAAUCGAUUCAGCGAGGAACACACCGCGUGGUACAAACAAGGUGUCGGGAUAGGCCCAGAGAAGGAGCAGCAGCCCUUCGACAACGCACAUCAACUCGCCUGCAGAGGCAGUUUCGAUUCAAAGGGCUCGUCGUCGUCGUCGUAAGCGCUAACUUCGGUCAAAGCAAACGUUGCUUAAGUCCCACGAGUACGAGUAGCACGAGUAUCUAAGGCAACAUGUCGUUCGACGAAACUUCUGCGGAUCGGAAUGUGGAGAUCUGGAAAAUCAAAAAGCUUAUCAAGAGCUUGGAAAUGGCCAGGGGCAACGGAACGAGCAUGAUCUCGUUGAUCAUACCGCCGAAGGAUCAGAUCAGCCGGGUCAGUAAGAUGCUGGCGGACGAGUUUGGCACGGCUUCGAACAUCAAAUCGCGCGUCAACCGCCUGUCCGUGCUCGGUGCCAUCACGUCUGUCCAGCACAGGCUGAAGCUCUACACCAAAGUGCCUCCGAAUGGUUUAGUGAUUUACUGCGGUACGAUCGUGACCGAAGAGGGCAAGGAAAAGAAGGUCAAUAUCGACUUCGAACCGUUCAAACCAAUCAAUACCUCUCUGUAUCUGUGCGACAACAAAUUCCACACCGAAGCGCUCACUGCACUGCUUGCCGAUGACAAUAAGUUCGGUUUCAUCGUGAUGGACGGUAACGGUGCACUCUUCGGAACGCUGCAGGGCAAUACUCGAGAAGUGCUGCACAAAUUCACCGUCGAUCUGCCGAAGAAGCACGGUCGCGGUGGUCAGUCUGCGCUGCGUUUUGCCCGGUUGCGAAUGGAAAAGCGACACAACUACGUGCGAAAGGUGGCGGAGGUGGCCACGCAGCUGUUCAUCACCAACGACAAGCCCAACAUUGCCGGCCUGAUUCUGGCUGGUAGUGCCGAUUUUAAAACCGAGCUGAGUCAGUCCGACAUGUUCGAUCCGAGAUUGCAAUCAAAAGUGAUCAAGCUGGUGGAUGUGUCAUACGGUGGGGAGAAUGGUUUCAACCAAGCCAUCGAACUUGCCGCGGAAUCGCUACAGAACGUGAAGUUUAUUCAGGAGAAGAAACUGAUCGGGCGCUACUUUGACGAAAUUUCGCAGGAUACCGGAAAGUACUGCUUCGGUGUCGAAGACACGUUAAAGGCGCUAGAGCUGGGGUCGGUAGAGACGCUGAUUUGCUGGGAAAAUCUCGAUAUACAGCGUUACGUGCUGAAGAACCAUGCGAGUGCAACUUCGACCACAGUAUUACACUUAACGCCCGAGCAGGAAAAGGACAAGUCUCACUUCACGGACAAAGAGAGUGGUGUCGAAAUGGAAUUGGUCGAGUCGCAGCCGCUGCUGGAGUGGCUCGCGAACAACUACAAGUGCUUCGGUGCAACAUUGGAAAUCAUUACCGACAAAUCACAGGAAGGCAGCCAGUUCGUGCGCGGAUUCGGUGGCAUAGGAGGAAUUCUACGUUACAAAGUCGAUUUUCAAUCCUUGCAAGCGGACGAACCGCUCGACGAUGUCGAUCUGGAUGAUUACUAAAUAGUUCUUUAAUUUAGCUUCCAACACUACCAUAACGUCGCGCACCAAGUCUGUGUGUUGGGCGCGCGUUGUCGAGCCGCCCAGCCACCUUGGAGCGCAUCCCUUUGCGGGUGUGUUUUUCCCUUGCGUUUCGCCCCCUAUACCCCCCUCCGAUUUGUUUUGACGACGGUCAGUUAGAGCACCAUUUUCGUCCUUCUUCUCGCUUAACGACUGGGACUGGGCCGACACCCCGGGGGCCGGCGUAAUCUGCGUGUAGUGCAUGGUUUUCUUGUGUUGUGUGUUGUGUGCGUGUGCAACACGCCGUAAGCGGUGGGCGGCGGGCUAGUGAUGCUGGGAUUUGAGAGCAGAACAAGGCAAACAGAAAAGAAGAAGAAAAAAAGAAAAAAACAUCAGCAAACAACAAAGCAUAUAUUUAACUAUCCUCCAAAGCCCCUACUUCGCGGUUUUUCUUCAAUUGAACUGUGUAAUAUCGAUGCUAAUUUGUAGCGCACUUUCCGAAUAAGAGGUGUCCUUCGCUACAAGGUAGAUUUUCAAAGCAUGCAACUGGAUGAACUGGAUAACGAUUGUUUCGACCUCGACGAGUACUAAUUACGAAGCACCCGAGAUGCGUUUUGUUUAUUUUGCCUCCAUCGGUAAUACGGAAACGAGAUACUAACUGAAGGAAACAACAGAAUUGUGAACGUGUGGGGAGCUUUAGUGGAUGGGCACAGGGCUGUGGAAGGUUGACGUACUGUGGUAGCGAAAAAUUCCCAUUACCCUCCUCCUCGGUUGUUCCCUUCGGGCAAGGGGAGCAUUUUGCUGCGUAAAACAAGUAACCAAACCCCCCCUCGGCCAAUUAAGAAGUAAUUCACUCCAAAAGCGAAAACAUCCCUCCCGCAGCACGAUUUUAAAGUAAGGGAAAAUUAUACAAAGAAAUGAGAACACUUGCAAAGUAACCCCUAAUUAACUACGAUUGAGGGAAACUCAUACGAAACAAACAGAAAAGAAGAGAAAAAUCACAAAACAAACACUUCACUAUCCAGCAGGACAACGGAAGAAAAGCGACGAAAACAAUAAUAAAAAAAGAAAUUAUAUAAAAGAAACACACAGAUAUGGGUGACUUGUUUCAGUUUAAAAAUGAUGAUUUCGCCUCAAAACAAGGAAACCUUUUUGAGUACGCUUGUUUCUGGUGAGUUGUAGCAUCGUAGCAGUCGAAUGUUGUUCCGAAUUUUAAUUGUUUUGUUACUGUUUAGUUAUUUAGUAAGAGCUUUUCCGUGAUAGUCAUGAUAAACGUUUGACGGUUAAAUAUAGCCAACUUAGAUCGAAAUCAAAUCCAAAACCAACUUUUAUUUUGAAUCAUGUUUAUUUGAUAAAACUUAAAUAAUCGUUACACUUAAAUUGUUUGCCAACGCGUACCUUUGGAAACAAAGUCUAAACUAAAUUUGCUUCUCAUAUUCAGAAUAGUUCGCG